CAUACACACAGAGGUUUUUAUAUGGCUGAGCUGGGAGAAGCCAAGUAAAACACUUUUUCUUUUGUUUCUAGACUAUUUAGCAAAUACGAGGAAAAUGACGUGGCACUGAAGAGGGGACUUAGAGAGACAGGGCCAGUGGGUGGAGGAGGAGAGGACGUGCCGGGAAAAGAAUGCAGAAAGGAGAUUUUUUUUGGCCACAGAGUUUUUGCUAAAAGCAGCUAGGAAGCCCCACGGCUCCAGUGUGCGUGAACUCCUGGUAAUUUCCUUGGGGAAUCCCGCCUCAGAGAACCUCUACCCCGAGAAUUAGGAGGAAGCUGAGCUAGGCUGACUUGAGGAAAGAGAGCUGGAGGAGCGGGGUUCAACAUUUUUCAAAAUAAAAAGUUGGUAGAAUAAUAGGAAGCCAUGAGGACCAAGAAGCUCACAUUUCCAAGGCUUUCUAAGUUUCACCUUGAAGCAAGAUACAUCAUAAAGCAUUGUCUAGGUACAACUUGCACUUUCCUGUCCAAGCCUCAGACCCUGUUCUUCAUCUGGGCCCACAGAGCAACAGCUUCCACUUUUGUGGCCAAAGAAAAAUGCUAACCAGCUUGUAAUUGCUGUAAGGAGAUGGAGUUUCACUUACAUCCAGGCUGGAAUGCAGUGGCGUGAUCUUGGCUCACUGGAACCUCCACCUCCUGGGUUCAAGCAAUUCUCGUGCUUCAGCCUCCCGAGUAGCUGGGAUUAUAGGUACGCUCUUUCAUGCCCAGCUAAUUUUUGUAUUUGUAGUACAGAUGGGGUUUUGCCAUGUUGGCCAGGCUGGUCUUGAACUCCUGGCCUCAAGUGAUCUGCCUGCCUCAGCCUCCCAAAGUGCUGGGAUUACAGGUGUGAGCCACCAUGCCCAACCUCAUUUAUUUAUUCGUGUGUGUGUGUGUGUGUGUGUGUGUGUGUGUGUGUGUAUAACUGCCUAAUAGCUUAUACCUUAAGAGAGCCUUAAAUAGUAUAAGAAAGAAAAGAUAAACAAAGGGCAAGACUGUCACAUCUGUGUGGCUACAAAAGGAAAAUAUUCCUUACACAGCAUAUUUCCUACAUGAUUGACAAAGCUAGCAAUCUGCAUUCAAAAGCAUGUAGCCCAUGUACCACAGGCUACAUACAGGCUCUCAGGCUAAUGAUCAGAAUAACAAUUAUGAGUAACUUUUCCCGAAUGCUUACUAAGUGCCAGGCACUACACUAAGUGUUGUUUUGUUUUGUUUUGUUUUUGAGACAGAGUCUCACUGUGUCACCCAGGCUGGAGUGCAGUGGUGAGAUCUUGGAUCACUGCAACCUCCUCCCAGGUUCAAGCGAUUCUCCUGCCUCAGCCACCCAAGUAGCUGGGAUUACAGGCGUGUACCACCAUGCCCAGCUACUUUUUGUGUUUUUAGUAGAGACCGGGUUUCACUAUGUUGGCCAGGAUGGUCUAAAACUCCUGACCUAAGGUGAUCCACCUGCCUCAGCCUCCCAAAGUGCUGGGAUGACAGGCAUGAGCCACUGUGCCCGGCCUUACACUAAGUGUUUUGCAUAAUGUUAUAUGCCUUGUUUAAUCCUCAUUUUUCGAAGGAGGCUCCUGAGACUCACAGAAGUGAGCUGCACAGAGUCAUGUGAUUGAUAAGUGGUUAAGCUGAGGUUCAAAUACAGGCCACUGAAUUUCAAACUAAAAACCCACAAUCAUUCCAGGCACCACCUUAAAGUUCUACUUAUAAGGGGCCAGCGAGUGGCACACGGCCCAGGACGAAAAAGUGAGUGAGGAUAUUCAAACACAAGUCACAUCACGACAUGGCAAAAACAGAAAAACUUUGAUGUUCUCCAUCUGUUCUUCAGACAGAGAGCUCAAACAUAAGAGAGUAGGGCUCAACUUUAAGACAGAAACUGCCCAGCACCAUCUGCAGGUGGAUUGCAUUGUUUGGGGAGGCAGUCACAUGACCCAGAUCUGCUUCCUGCCUCUGCUUGCAGAAGUCUAACACUCUGAGGGCUAACACCAAUCCUGCUUGCAGGAUUCUAACACUCUGAGGCUCCGAGGUUGUUAAAGUCCCUGUCUCCCACACUACCAACCCCACUGUCAGCUUGACCAUGAGUGAAUGCCUUCACCAAUGUAUAGAAAGGACCUUGCUAAUAGGAAAAAAGAUGAGCCUGGAGCCUAAACAGGAAGGCUUUCUCUUCCACGGAUUGGAAGCACCGCUAAAGAAGCUGGCUGACUUGUGAGGUUCGGGGAUAACGAAGUAUGAAUGUACAGCUCCGGGUACUGUGCUUGGAGCAUAUGAAACAUGCAACACAUGACUAGUGUUGUUAUACAGUUUUCAUUCCCACAGUCUCUAACAAAAUAUAGUCAUACGUCUUUUUUUAAAAAGACGUGUUGGAUUCUAGUGCUGAGAAGAAGAGAAGCUACCACUAAUAUAGCAUGAGAGAGUGGCAGACAGAGAGAUCCCUGGGGACCCACAUUUUUCAGGGAGAAACCCCAAUUCUUUCUGCCCUUCAAGCAGUGGCACACAGCAGAAAGUGAAAUCAUUCAUUGGACAGCUUGAUUGGAAACUGUGAUUUAUAUUACAGGGAUCUUUUUGCCACAAUAGCCUAAUCUAAAUCAGGCCAUUAUUUCAUACAAGCCAUUAUUUCAUAAAGUUUUACAUUUUAACCUGUAACUCAGGUACCAAGUUUCCUCAAGCUACACAUUCCCACUCAUCAACAAUAUCAUUGGUUUGACAUUAUACAUACAAAAAGAGCAAUUUUUUAAGAAAAACAGUUAUAAGCUGAUACAUCAUUUUCAACACACCCUAUAUAUAAAGUUGCUGUGUUUCAGAGGUUAUUUGGAUUAUUUUAAUCUAUUGAAAAAAAAAGCUAACACGACACUUUUGGACAGUUCAGCCUCCUUUUUCUUUGCUUUGAUGGUGUUCUUUUCUCCUUUUCUCCCUCUAGUUUUUAUCUCUGUUCAAAAGCAAGAUUUUAAAUCCUGUAAGUAGAAAUUGGAACAACUUCUGGGCUUUGCACAGCACCUAGCUAGUUCUUCAGGAUAUUCUUUGUUCUAUUUUUUAACAUACAUUUUUAAAGGUAAUAAUAAACUAAACUUUGACCUUUAAAAUCUUCAAAUAAAUCAAUCAGCAGAGAAAUAACUAGGUAAAGAGCAGAAUGGAAAACAAUCAAACAAGGCUGGAAAGUCAUAGAAAAUUCCUAAAAUUGUGUGUUUGUAUGUGUGUGUGUGUGUGUGUGCAUGUUGUUGUUCUUAUUGUUCAUUUGUAUAUGUGUGAUUUGAGCAACAUUUGAGAAAAAAAAAAUAAGAAAAUGAGGAAACUGGUAGUUGCUUUUGAAGUCAUUUUAUAAGGCAAAUAUUUGUAAAGCAAAGGAAAAGAGAAAGGGGUCGUGCAAUCAGUGCCAUUCCCUGAGCCCCUGCCUGCACCAGUCAGCUCUAGCCUCUGCAGGGCCCUUGUCUGGGCAUUGUCCCUUGGGCUCUUUGUUCUUAGUUGCCAGGAGAAAGUGGUCAUUGUUUCUCUACUUCUCUUCCUCUUUUUGUUUUUUAUUUUUUUCUUCUUCUUCUCUUCCAUCUCCUCAUCUUUUUCCCUAUUCUCCUUCCUUUGCUUUUAAAUCCAGUUUGGUAUAGAGGUCCUUUCUUGAUUUACUUACAACCAUGUUUCUUCUCCUGGUACAGAUAACUUUCUUUGAACAAAGUAUGACCUGUGAAUCAAAACUCCUGCUACCAAAGUCCCAUGUUGUACCACACUAAAACCUACAAUGUCCUCCCUGAAGUUGUUUUCAUGGCUCAACGAACAUAAGAGCCAAGUCAAAGCCAGACAUAAGAUGAGUUCAUAUUUGAGGCUAAGGGAAAAUUACUUCUGGGGGAAGUAAUGUUUUGGCUUAAAUUCACAUGAAAUAUAAAUGACUAAUAUCAAAUAUUUUGCUGAAGCAGAGAUUGAUGGAGAAAAGGAUGAAGAUAGAAAAGGGUGUCAAGCCCUUUAAAAGAAAGGGAGCUCUCAGUAGAUGAGAGAAAAUUAUGCAGAAAACGUAGGCUAGUUCACUGAAGGCCAACUGGGUAUGGAGUUCCACUUUGCCUUGAACUUGCUCUACCCUUCAAUGUCAGGGUUAUGUAAAAGUGUCCAGUUAUGGUCAUUCAGAAUCAGACAGAGCAUAAACACCUCUCUCAGAAGAACGGGAAGUGUCUACAGAGCAUCAUAGAAUGCCAGACAGUCUAAUGGUCUAAUUCAGCCUCACAAAAAUGUGGCUUCACUGUCCUACUCUAGGCGGCUAUCUGAACUUUUCAGAUUAAUAAUAAGAGCUAAGGAAGUUAUUCCAUACAGUCUGUGAUUGAAUCUGUAGUAGAGUUUGUCUGAAUUGGCUCGACAUCCUUAUGAGUUACCUCCCUGUUGACCAAGAAGUCCACAGGCCCACCAUCAAAAUGCUCACUCACUUUGCCUCUCUCCCUCCCACUUUCUCCUUCCCUCUCUCUCUCUCUCCCCGCCUGCCACCCCACAACAUACACCUUAGGUUUGGGUCAGCCAACAACUCGUAACCCCAGCGCAGCUCCUGAAGCCCCAGACAACUACCUUCUCACCUAGGAACUUAGGCAAAGCUGGAAUUUCCAAGUUUGUCACAAGACAGUUUGUUGGGUGCAUCCCACCCCGUUGCUCCCCUAGCGAAUUGCAUUUCUCUGUGAUGACUUUACUCUUAUGGACCUUCUACAUUCUCAGGAAUUUAAUGGCCCUAAUUUGCACUAGACCCAUCUAACUCCAAAAGUCCAUGGCAAGAAGCAAUUUGUCAUUUGCUGAGAACUCUCUCUAAUGUUGCAUUUUCUAGGGAAGAAGGUUGGUUGGUUUGUACAAUCAAAAUUUCUUACUGAGGCUUAGUUGCCUCUUCUAAAAUUUUGCUUCCAUGGCUAUGUUAUGGCAUUAUUCUCAAGGGAUUACAAAAGGUCUCCUUAUAUGCAUUUCCUUCAGGAAUGUCAAUAAUCUACUAUAGAUUUUCUAUAAAUAAUAAUAGCCUCACUUUUUGAAUGCUUACUAUGGAUCAGGCACUAUACAUUUGUCAGAUCAUUUAUGGUCAAAAAAAUCCUGUAGCCAGUCCAACUACUAUUCCCAUUUUACAAAUGGUAAAAUUGAGACUCAGUGAGCUUGAGAUGCUAAUUAGUGGAGACAUUCUAGGGUAUAAACUCAGGCAGUCUAACUUUAGAAGCCUAUGAGCUUAAACACUACACUAUCAUGCCCCAUAUGUGCUUCUAGCCACUAUAUAAUGCCACUACAUAAAUCUUUUACAAAAGACUGGGAGCUCCUCCCAUGUAAUAUGUGUGCAGAUUUACUCAACUUUACAUUCCCGUAGGGCCUGGCAUGUAGGAAGAUGGCCUGCAUAAAAGCCAUAAGAUGGCCAGGAGAGAAACAUGAAGUCUCCCUGGUUGGUACACAGAACAUUCUCCCACACCUUCCUAUUAUAUGAUCUGUGUUCAUGGCUAGCAACAGUGCCCUAGGAAACAUAAGCUAAACAAGACCCUGCAGUGUCACUUGGAAUAAAUGAAAGUUCCUUUCUUCAUCUCUGGACUUUACAAUGGGGCAGUUCCCAAACUUCCCAAACAGAAUUGCUGUCUCAGCACAUUUUCCCCAAGCCCACACUCUAACUUCUUAAAGAGAACCAGGCUUGAGGCAGAAAUGAGAGCUCUCCUUUCUUGACUCCCCUAAAUCCCUAUCCUUGCAGUCUGUUCUGGCUCCAAACGUGAGCAGUGCUCACUCUGGCCAUUUCUGAGGCCCAGGUGAAUUUUACCCACAAAGGAAACGAUUGUGUUACCCCAUCCAUAUCAGUAAGGGUGAUCUAUGUUGUUAUUCAGUUGGCUACUUCUGGCGAUGGCGCUUUUAAACGUGACUAGCACCCCUUUAGAUAAUUUCAAAUGUAUUUGGAAUGUAACAUAACAGAACACAUUGUGUAAAACUGUGCAUAGCAAAACCAUUUCUCCAACAGCGAUUUCAGUGGACCAGAGUCUGCUUCUUUCAGAAGCCCCCUGGAUGCCUUAAGAAUAUUUGUCUCAUUAUCCCCAUUAUUUUCCCCUCCAGGGAACCGUCCCUAAUAAACUUUGCUAUGUCUCUUGUCCUGGCUAGUUUUAGUAUGAGCCAGGGGAAAGAUUUCAGAAAAGCAAGAGUUCUUUUCUGCCUGGGCUUGCAAAAUUGUCUUUUGCUGCAGAUGCAUCUGUUAGUAAUGAUUGAGACAAUCUGUGCAGCAUAAGAGAACUUGUUGAGAGAUGACUCUAAAAAGAUCCUCUUCCAAUAAAUGUUUAACUUCUUAGUACCUUUUCAUGACAGCAGGAUCAUGAAUUUAACGUCCCCAGAAGAUGAGAUGAUGUCUUCUCACUUGGCAUGACCAUCUUAAAGUAAUGCUUAUACCUUGGAACCAGAGGUCCUUGAGAACUUCAGGGGCCCCAAAACUAUAAAUAUUACCCGAAAGGAUACUUCAGGUUCAAGUACCAUUCCCAAGUUCUGGCCCUCUCUGAUAAGCUCAGGAUAAUUGAAUUUAGUAAAGAUGAUCAUUGAGAGGACUGGAAUCCCUCAGCCUUCUUCACGUGGCCAAGAAGACCUCAAGUCUAAAAUCAAAUUUUCAGGAGGCUGAGAACAUCAGAAAACUAUUAGUUCUCUAACCCACUUCUUCUCUUAUCAUCUUUUUGCCUCUGUCUGGAAAUGAAAUCAGCAUGGUUUCCAUCCAGAGAUUUAGAGUAGUCUGGGUAUAAUACCAGGCCCAAUGGGCCCAAGAGAAAACCGGAGUCAUCUUCGGGUAUCCCAUUUCCCUCGUAGCUUUAUUUGUCAACACAACACAUUAGCUGAUAAGGUAAGUUCACUCUACUCAAGCAGGGAUUACAGACUCUGAGGAGUACAAGGUGACAUGCAGGAGGACAAGAAGCACAGGAAAACCCAUGGUACAUUUUCCUGGAGUGCCAAUAGAAGAGGAAAUGGCACUAUUUUUGGAGCAUUACAAACUAGAGUAAAACGCAAACUUGUAGUAAAACGCAAAAUUCAUGGACUUUCAAAAUAAAACUUAAAACUGCAAAUACAUUUUGAGUUUGAGGCAUGAGCUUCCCACUCCUUGCCUAGAUCUCAGGGGGACACAAUGUUUGUUUUCCUCCUCCAUUAGGGGUGCUUUGAUGGGUAUUUGAGAAAAACUGUCCAUAUGUACCUCUCCCAGGGCUAUUGACAUUUUAACAAGGUACUCGUAUUGAAAAAAAAAAAAACUGUUACAAAAAAAAAAAAAACAGAAUUAAAGAAAAAGUAAAAAAUGAAAGAAGUGUUUACAGGAGUCUUCAUAUAGUUAUGGCAUUACA